GGAUCCUUAGCUCAGUGGUAGAGCACUACCUUGACACGGUAGGGGUCGCUGGUUCGAUCCCAGCAGGGUCCACCA
rnacentral:tRNA from 1 species